CGGAGGCAGCAGUGAGGAAUUUUGCACAAUGGGCGAAAGCCUGAUGCAGCAACGCCGCGUGGGCGAUGAAGGUCUUCGGAUCGUAAAGCCCUUUUCUAGGGGAAGAGAGAGGACGGUACCCUAGGAAUAAGCCUCGGCUAACUACGCGCCAGCAGCCGCGGUAAUACGUAGGAGGCGAGCGUUGUCCGGAUUUAUUGGGCGUAAAGAGCGCGUAGGUGGCUUGGUAAGUUGGGUGUGAAAUCCCUUGGCUCAACUGAGGGGGGUCAUCCGAUACUGCUGGGCUUGAGGCAGGCAGAGGAAGGUAGAAUUCCCGGUGUAGUGGUGAAAUGCGUAGAUAUCGGGAGGAAUACCAGUGGCGAAGGCGGCCUUCUGGGCCUGUUCUGACGCUGAGGCGCGAAAGCGUGGGGAGCGAACCGGAUUAGAUACCCUCGU
rnacentral:rRNA from 1 species